rnacentral:lncRNA from 1 species
UCCCUAGCUGAAGUGGUGCGCUUGGGUCGCCGUCUACUGUUCCUUCAUCAGCUUUGCCAACUCCCGGAGCUCUGAGGACACUAAACAGAUGAUGAGUAGCUUCAUGUGAGUCUGGGCCUAGAGAAGGAGGGCUCCUGAGUUAACGGGGAGUGGGGGACCCAAGCCUACCCCUCCUGGACUGACACCUGUCUCCUGUCCCAGGCUGUCCAUCUCUGCCGUGGUGAUGUCAUAUCUGCAGAACCCUCAGCCCAUGACGCCCCCCUGGUGAUGUCAGCCUAGGACCACUCUGUCCACCUUCCCCCAGGCCUGGCCCCUGGCUGCCCAGCCUCCUGCCCUCAGCUGCUGUCCUGGGCUUCCAUGAAUGCGGUAGUCUCAGGGCCCACAGCUGGCUGGAGGGAACCUGACCCUUUCCCUGGGAUUCCACUUCUGCUGGGCAGAGGGGAAUACCCUCGGCCUACCCCUCCUGCCUACCUUCCCCAACCUGCCUGCUGCGGUGGGAGAUGCUGUCCAUGUUUCUAGGUGUAUCCACUCGUGUUGUUGUUGUUGUUGUUGUUGUUGUUGAAACCAGUUAAAUAAAGUUUUGCAUUCUGGCGGUU